rnacentral:rRNA from 1 species
UACGAAGGGGGCUAGCGUUGCUCGGAUUGACUGGGCGUAAAGGGCGCGUAGGCGGUUCGUACAGUCAGACGUGAAAUUCCUGGGCUCAACCUGGGGGCUGCGUUUGAUACGUGCGGACUUGAGUGCGGAAGAGGGUCGUGGAAUUCCCAGUGUAGAGGUGAAAUUCGUAGAUAUUGGGAAGAACACCGGUGGCGAAGGCGGCGACCUGGUCCGAUACUGACGCUGAGGC